CUCUAUUGGAAGCAAGCUGCCUGAGGCUAUUUUAAGUGCUCUCCUUUCUCCUCCAGGAAUUGGAAUCUGCCCAGCUGAGCCCCAGACGCCGGAGGGGUCCCGGGGGUCAGUCAGCCCUGCGCCACCCUCCGGUUCCUCUUCUGGCCAUACAAGGAAGUCCAGUGCGGGGAUGACUAAGCAGCUGACCUGGGGGGAGAGCAGCCCUGGAGCGGAGGCAGGACUGGCCUCUCCUGCCAGCCAUCAGCCCCUGUGGGCUUGUCCUGUGGUGAAAAGUCCCAGGCCUCCCACCAGGGAGCACCUGACCUCUCUGCUCCCUGAGAGGAGUGAAGUGAGCCUCAAGGUCUGCCGGUAGAGGCACAGCCUUGCACUGACAUCAGGCCCUAAGCUCUAGUUCCACACAGAGAUAGCGGGUCUGUCCUGGCCUCCCAUGGGCUCCCAGGGGAAGGGAGAUCUGGCCUGACCUUCCCAGCAAUGCCUGCCUCAGUGGAGAAACCCCAGCUUCCCAGCAUCAGGACACACUCUCUCUCACACCCUCCAUAGUUCCCACUGACCUCACCGCAAAGUCCACAGUAGAAACUCAGAGUCCUACUGAGGAGACACCUGCCCAGCUGUCAGCCUGCUUCCUCCACCUGCUCCCCCCACCUGCUCUAUCUCCUGCUGUCUACACUCGUUCCCCCCACCUGCUUGCUCACCUGCUGUCUACACCUGUUCCCCCACCUGCUGUCUCACCAGCUUCCUCCACCUGCUCCCCCCAUCUGCUCUCUCACCUGCUUCCUCCACCUGCUCCCCCCACCUGCUCUAUCACCUGCUGUCUACACUCGUUCCCCCCACCUGCUCGCUCACCUGCUUCCUCCACCUGUUCCCCCAACCUGCUCUCUCACCUACUGUCUACACCUGUUCUUUGCUCUGGCUGCCUCCACCCAUCCAGCUCCCCCACACCCUUCUUGGACACUGCCCAGCAUUUCCCAGCUCCCUCACACAAUGCUGAACCCCCACCCUGCCGCAACUCACGUCCUGCUUUCUCGAUGGUCUUCCCAGAGGAGGUCCCACCUUCCCAGCCCCUACCUGUUCCUCAGGUCACCAUUUCCUGGAACCACCUUCCAUCCCCCAGAACUCGGCUGGGCCCUGCAGACAUGUACAUGCUACCAGGUGACGUGGCCACUCCUCCCGCACAGCUUUUCCAGGUGUCUCUGUUUUUCUUGUUCUUCAGAAUGUUAAAAGUUCCCAGAUCCCAGGGACUUUUAGGCUGCUCCCACCACAGAGCUGGCCAGCGCAGAGAAAUGCUAGGGGGUCUGGGUCCUGGGAAGCUCUGGGAUGAACAUGACUCCUGAGCACAGACACCCCCCUGACAGAGCUCUCUUUGGUUUCACUAUGCAAGCUGACUCUCCCCACCUGAUGAGCCAGUGGGAUUAGCAGGAACCGAGUGGACUACAGCCACCACCCGCAUCCUGUGCCCAUCGAUGAACUGGAGCGGAGAAGAGGACUGAUCUCAUUACUUGGCCUGGCUGGACGUGCUGACCCUCAGGAUCACAGGCAGUGGAAGGAGCAGCUCCUGGAAG
ensembl:lncRNA